AUGAGAAUUUUAAUGGCCGCAGUAUUUUGACUGUGCAAAGGUAGCAUAAUCAUUUGUUUUUUAAUUGAAAACUGGAAUAAAAGAGUUGACGUAAAAUAAACUUUUUUAGAAAAUAUUUAAAUUGACAUUAAAGUCAAAAGGCUUUAAUAAAAUAGAGGGACGAUAAGACCCUGUGAAAUUUUAUUUACUAAUAAAUCAUAAUAAGAAACUGAAAUUUAAAUGAAUUUGACUGGGGCGGUUUAUAUAAUAUAUCUAUCUUAAAAAAAAGACAAGAAUGUUAAUCUUUAAAACCCUAAUAUGUAAAAUUUUACAAAUUACUCCAGGGAUAACAGCACAAUCUCACUUAAUAGCACCUAUUGACAGUGGGGUUUGUGACCUCGAUGUUGAAUUGGGGAUACUUAUAUAAGCAAAAAUUUAUAAUGUCAGUCUGUUCGACUAUUAAAAUCCC
rnacentral:rRNA from 1 species